rnacentral:lncRNA from 1 species
AAGUUAUUACAAAAUCAUAAAUUGGACUAAGGUAUUGAGAGAAGAUGAAUUUGCCAAGGUUCAAAUCAUGAUAUUUGCAAAAAUUUAAAAUUUUUUUCCCUCAUUCAACUGGUUUGGAACGAAUUUUAUUCAAUAUCCACAUCUAAUUCUAUUUAUAUGUGAACAAUUUUUUAUAGCGAGAAUCUUAACCCUCAAACUCAAAUUCUAUCCAAAAGCAUUUCGAGUAUUAAUUUUUCAAUCCAAAAUCUACCUGUAUUCAUUUAUAAAUAUCCAAAACCGUAUUAAUUGAGUUUAAUUGAGAAAAUCAGCUAAUAAAUUGUACAAUUACAGUUUUUAAUCUAAUUACCAAAUUGGUGCCUGAUUUUGGGUCACAAGUUUGGUGAGCAGCUCGAUCACUAUCAGGCUAAUCUUUCAACUCCUAAGGAGAGUAUUGUACAAUCUUAUGGUUGUUUCUUUAAAUGGGUCAGAUGCUUUUUAGGUAAUUUAAAUAUGGAAUAGGGAACUUACAAAAUUAAUAAUUAUUGAAGUUUCUGUGAUCUAGUUAACUAAAUUUUCCUAGAUGCAAUUAUCAUGGUUGGUGUAAGUGAGUUACUUUGAACUAGAAACUAAAUCAAAAUUGUCUCUUUUAGAAUGUAAGGAAACUGGCCUUUGAAUUUGCUAGUAACUUUUGCUGGCUGCUAAAGCAUACAAUCUCUUGCUUUUCAUCUUUGGAAUUGGACUGACUCACCUAGAAAUGAAUGGUAUGAAAUAUGGGAGUAUGGAAUGAAAGUAGGUGCUUUGGGCCAUCCCCCGUUAGGCAGAAGGGCUUCCAAGGCUGGCUCCAGUCUCAUUAAUGCUUACGAUCUGUCUUAAACUCUGAGAACACAGCACAGGCCCACAUAGGAAGCAUGCACUACACUUCCAAGUUCCAUCCAUGGCCAGGCAUUUUCUUCUUUCUAGCUAAAUUGGGUGCCUGGAAAUGACUGAAAUAAAAUUCAACAACAAAAAGUAUUACCCAAAAAUGACUGAAAUAAACCAAUGAUUACUGUGUAUAGCAUUGAAUGAUAUGUAUUUGUCUUCAUGGUCAAUUUAUGCCCCCUCAAACUUUUGGAUCCUUUUUUCCAGUCUCCUACUUGCAAGGGCACCAAACCUAUUCAAACAUUUGGAUCCUUUUUUCCGGUUUCCUACUUGCAAGGGCACCAAACCUAUUCAAACAUUUGGCAAAAUGGUAAAGGGGUUGGAAGAAUUAGCAAUCAAAUCUUUGCACAUCACAAACUCACAAGAAAAGAUAAAAAAAAUCAAAGUCUUUGGUUGAGAAUCCAAGGGGAAAGAAAAAAUCCCUUCCCCCUGUACCUAAACAUGAUAGAGACCUUUCUAUAGGAAAUUAGGAAGAAGUCAGGAACUGACUUAUCACACCAGCCGCGUCCAAAUUGGAGACUGAAAUCUCCAAACAACUAAUAGUAUUCCUUUACUUGCAGUAACACACACUGCAUUAAACUUUGCGCAAGCAAUUUCCUUUAUUGGCUACUUCGAAAUAAUUUCA